UUGCUUUGUGCAUUUUAGGAUAUCUUUGUUUGCUUCUUCUUUAAUAAUGUCACAAAUCUGAGUCCAGAAUUCUUCAGAACACAAAUCAAGGAUGUGAUGGAGCAAGUCUCAACAAGCCCACUGAUGGAUAUUCCUUACCUUUCAUCUACAUGGAGGCAACAGAUACCACCAAGAACUGCAGCUGUGUCACCAAUGACUUCA